AACGAACGCUGGCGGCAUGCCUAACACAUGCAAGUCGAACGAGACCUUCGGGUCUAGUGGCGCACGGGUGCGUAACACGUGGGAAUUUGCCUCGGGGUAUGGAAUAAACUCAGGGAAACUUGAGCUAAUACCAUACAAUGUCUUCGGACCAAAGAUUUAUCGCCCUGAGAUAAGCCCGCGUAGGAUUAGCUAGUUGGUGGGGUAAAGGCUCAUCAAGGCGACGAUCCUUAGCUGGUCUGAGAGGAUGAUCAGCCACACUGGGACUGAGACACGGCCCAGACUCCUACGGGAGGCAGCAGUGGGGAAUAUUGGACAAUGGGCGAAAGACCUGAUCCAGCAAUGCCGCGUGAGUGAUGAAGGCCUCGG
rnacentral:rRNA from 1 species